AUUGAACGCUGGCGGCAUGCCUUACACAUGCAAGUCGAACGGUAGAGGGGGCAACCCCCUGAGAGUGGCGAACGGGUGAGUAAUGCAUCGGAACGUGCCCAGUUGUGGGGGAUAACACUUCGAAAGAAGUGCUAAUACCGCAUACGACCUGAGGGUGAAAGGGGGGGAUUCGCAAGAACCUCUCGCAAUUGGAGCGGCCGAUGUCAGAUUAGGUAGUUGGUGGGGUAAAAGCCUACCAAGCCGACGAUCUGUAGCUGGUCUGAGAGGACGACCAGCCACACUGGGACUGAGACACGGCCCAGACUCCUACGGGAGGCAGCAGUGGGGAAUUUUGGACAAUGGACGCAAGUCUGAUCCAGCCAUGCCGCGUGCAGGAAGAAGGCCUUCGGGUUGUAAACUGCUUUUGUCAGGGAAGAAAUCCUCUGGGCUAAUAUCCUGGGGGGAUGACGGUACCUGAAGAAUAAGCACCGGCUAACUACGUGCCAGCCGCCGUAAUAC
rnacentral:rRNA from 1 species